rnacentral:rRNA from 1 species
GCCUAAAGCGUCCGUAGCCGGCUCUGUUAGUUUUCGGUUAAAUCCAUAUGCUCAACAUAUGGGCCGCCGGGAAUACUACAAAGCUAGGGAGUGGGAGAGGUAGACGGUACUCCGUAGGAAGGGGUAAAAUCCUUUGAUCUAUGGAUGACCACCAGUGGCGAAGGCGGUCUACCAGAACACGUCCGACGGUGAGGGAUGAAAGCUGGGGGAGCAAACCGGAUUAGAUACCCGGGUAGUCCCAGCUGUAAACUAUGCAAACUCAGUGAUGCAUUGGCUUGAUGCCAAUGCAGUGUUGCAGGGAAGCCGUUAAGUUUGCCGCCUGGGAAGUACGUACGCAAGUAUGAAACUUAAAGGAAUUGGCGGGGGAGCACCACAAGGGGUGAAGCCUGCGGUUCAAUUGGAGUCAACGCCAGAAAUCUUACCCGGAGAGACAGCAGAAUGAAGGUCAAGCUGAAGACUUUACCAGACAAGCUGAGAGGUGGUGCAUGGCCGUCGCCAGCUCGUGCCGUGAGAUGUCCUGUUAAGUCAGGUAACGAGCGAGAUCCUUGCCUCUAGUUGCCACCAUUACUCUCAGGAGUAGUGGGGCGAAUUAGCGGGACCGCCGUAGUUAAUACGGAGGAAGGAAGGGGCCACGGCAGGUCAGUAUGCCCCGAA